rnacentral:tRNA from 1 species
GCUGGUGUGGCGUAAUGGUUAGCGUAUUAACUCUUACCAAGUUAGAGGUACGGGUUCGAUUCCCGUCACCAGUUCCG